CUAUUGAAUCUAUCACGUUGGAUCCCAGAGGAUAAGUCUUUAUUUCCAACAUGUGCAAUGUGGCCCUAUCAACCAGGAGAAUAUCUCAGGAGUCUCCCAAAGUUGUUAGCAUGAAAUGGAAACCAGUGGAGACUAAAUAAAGAACAAGAGGUGGGCCCUAAAUGCCACAAGAAACACUCGGAGGAGAUUUGACCAAAAAAAAAAAAAGAGAGAGAAAGAGGCAGUGUGACCAUGCCAGAGAGGCAGAGGUUGGAGCGACGCAGCCACAGACAAGGAUCGCCAGCAGCGGCCAGAA
rnacentral:lncRNA from 1 species